GAGACAUCCAUUCCAUGUGUGCAAGGGCUCAGCUGUGAGUCUGAAUCAGGUGAACUGGGAAGAAAGGGAAAGACUGAGAAGAGAGGUGUUGGGCUGAGUGAUGGAAAUACCAUAUGGAGGCUUGGCUGGAGCAGAAGAAAAACUCUAGAAGGAAGGGGAGAUGGAACACCAAGGCUGAGAAGGGGCCAGCACAUCCCAGAAGAUGCAGUCUGUUGUAAACUCACCCAGAGCUGAGAGAUGGGAGAUAAUAUGCCCCUUGGAUAAAAAAGAUAACUAUGAAAUCUUUAUAAAUUGUAAUAUAAAAUACAUAACAUAAAAUUUACCACUUUAACCAUUUUUG
rnacentral:lncRNA from 1 species